GACAGAAUGAGCCCUCUAAGCUCUGUCCUCUCCAGUCUUGUUCAAGCAACCAAUAAAGCAAUUGCAGGUUUCUACUUAUGUGUCUUUAACUACUUUUCCUGCAGUUAUUUCCUUUUUACUUCUUUUACAGCAUAUGAAUGCUUUCACAAUACUUCAUUUCUGUUUUGCCUGGAAGGUGGAGUGUUUGCUUUCCCAACUACUUUACAACCAAAUAAAAUACUGACUGGAAACCCCCUGCAUCCACUAUGAAGCCCCCAAGAACUAGAUUCAAAUAUCAAAAGUGUGUUUAGAGUUCAGACAUUUCACAAAUAAUAAUUCUAAGUGAAAAACCUGAAGGUAAUAAAAAAUUGCAUUGUUUUACCUCCUUCCUUUAU
rnacentral:lncRNA from 1 species